CCCUACGGGGGGCAGCAGUGGGGAAUAUUGGACAAUGGGGGGAACCCUGAUCCAGCGACGCCGCGUGAGUGAAGAAGUAUUUCGGUAUGUAAAGCUCUAUCAGCAGGGAAGAAAAUGACGGUACCUGACUAAGAAGCCCCGGCUAACUACGUGCCAGCAGCCGCGGUAAUACGUAGGGGGCAAGCGCUAUCCGGAUUUACUGGGUGUAAAGGGAGCGUAGACGGUGCAGCAAGUCUGAUGUGAAAGGUCGGGGCCCAACCCCGGAACUGCUUUGGAAACUGUGCGGCUCGAGUGCGGGAGAGGUA
rnacentral:rRNA from 1 species